rnacentral:rRNA from 1 species
AUACGUAGGGUGCGAGCGUUGUCCGGAAUUACUGGGCGUAAAGAGCUCGUAGGUGGUUUGUCGCGUCGUCUGUGAAAUUCCGGGGCUUAACUCCGGGCGUGCAGGCGAUACGGGCAUAACUUGAGUACUGUAGGGGAGACUGGAAUUCCUGGUGUAGCGGUGAAAUGCGCAGAUAUCAGGAGGAACACCGGUGGCGAAGGGGGGUCGCUGGGCAGUAACUGACGCUGAGGAGCGAAAGCAUGGGUAGCGAACAGGAUUAGAUACCCUGGUAGUCCAUGCCGUAAACGGUGGGCGCUAGAUGUAGGGGUCUUCCACGACUUCUGUGCCGUAGCUAACGCAUUAAGCGCCCCGCCUGGGGAGUACGGCCGCAAGGCUAAAACUCAAAUGAAUUGACGGGG